rnacentral:rRNA from 1 species
AGUGAACGCUGGCGGUAGGCCUAACACAUGCAAGUCGAACGGCAGCACAGUAAGAGCUUGCUCUUACGGGUAGCGAGUGGCGGACGGGUGAGGAAUACAUCGGAAUCUACUUUUUCGUGGGGGAUAACGUAGGGAAACUUACGCUAAUACCGCAUACGACCUACGGGUGAAAGCAUGGGAUCUUCGGACCUUGCGCGAUUGAAUGAGCCGAUGUCGGAUUAGCUAGUUGGCGGGGUAAAGGCCCACCAAGGCGACGAUCCGUAGCUGGUCUGAGAGGAGGAUCGGCCACACUGGAACUGAGACACGGUCCAGACUCCUACGGGAGGCAGCAGUGGGGAAUAGGGGACAAUGGGCGCAAGCCUGAUCCAGCCAUACCGCGUGUGUGGAGAAGGCCUUCGGGUUGUAAAGCCGUUUUGUUGGGAAAGAAAAGCAGCAGGUUAAUACCCCGCUGUUCUGACGGUACCCAAAGAAUAAGCACCGGCUAACUUCGUG